UGGGGAAUUUUGGACAAUGGGCGAAAGCCUGAUCCAGCAAUGCCGCGUGUGUGAAGAAGGCCUUCGGGUUGUAAAGCACUUUUGUCCGGAAAGAAAUCCUUGGCUCUAAUACAGUCGGGGGAUGACGGUACCGGAAGAAUAAGCACCGGCUAACUACGUGCCAGCAGCCGCGGUAAUACGUAGGGUGCAAGCGUUAAUCGGAAUUACUGGGCGUAAAGCGUGCGCAGGCGGUUUGCUAAGACCGAUGUGAAAUCCCCGGGCUCAACCUGGGAACUGCAUUGGUGACUGGCAGGCUAGAGUAUGGCAGAGGGGGGUAGAAUUCCACGUGUAGCAGUGAAAUGCGUAGAGAUGUGGAGGAAUACCGAUGGCGAAGGCAGCCCCCUGGGCCAAUACUGACGCUCAUGCACGAAAGCGUGGGGGAGCAAACAGGAUUAGAUACCCUGGUAGUCCACGCCCUAAACGAUGUCAACUAGUUGUUGGGGAUUCAUUCCUUAGUAACGUAGCUAACGCGUGAAGUUGACCGCCUGGGGAGUACGGUCGCAAGAUUAAAACUCAAAUGAAUUGACGGGGUCAUAGCUGUUU
rnacentral:rRNA from 1 species